GAUCAUGGCUCAGGAUGAAUGCUGGCGGCAUGCCUAAUACAUGCAAGUCGAGCGGUAGCAUGGCUUCACCGUUUCCUUGACUCACUUGGCCUUAUGCGAGUGGAUAGAUUCGAGGGAACCGUGAAGCUGAUGACGAGCGGCGGACGGCUGAGUAACGCGUGAGAACAUACCCCAAAGUGAGGGAUAACUAGUCGAAAGAUUAGCUAAUACCGCAUGUGA
rnacentral:rRNA from 1 species